AAGAAAGUAACUAAGGGCGCAUGGCGGAUGCCUUGGCUCACUCAGGCGAUGAAGGACGCGAUAAGCUGCGAUAAUCCGCGGGUAGGUGCAAAUAACCAUUGAUCCGCGGGUUUCCGAAUGGGACAACCCGUAUGUCUUGACGACAUUCAUCCACUUUUAAUGGUGGAGGCCAACGGAGGGAACUGAAACAUCUUAGUACCUCCAGGAAAAGAAAAUAAAUUAAUGAUUCCCCCAGUAGUGGCGAGCGACCGGGGAACAGCCCAAACCGUCCGGGUCUCAGGCCCGGUCGGGGUAGUAGGACCGCGUCGUUGCACUUUAAUUUUGAGUGGAACCGGCUGGAAAGCCGGGCCAUAGCGGGUGAAAGCCCCUUACACGAAGAGAUUAAAGGCAUAGCGGUAUCCUGAGUAACGCGGAGCACGAGGAAUUCUGCGCGAAUCCGCCGGGACCAUCCGGCAAGGCUAAAUACUCGAGUGAGACCGAUAGUGUACCAGUACCGUGAGGGAAAGGUGAAAAGCACUUCUACAAGAAGAGUGAAAUAGUUCCUGAAACCAUGCGCCUACAAGCGGUCGGAGCGUGUGUUUACACGUGACGGCGUGCCUUUUGCAUAAUGAACCUACGAGUUACCAUCACCGGCGAGGCUAAGUCUCAUGAGAGACGCAUCCGCAGUGAAAGCGAGCCUGAACAGGGCGAAAUACAGUCGGUGGGGGUAGACGCGAAACCAAGUGAUCUACACAUGUCCAGGUUGAAGUCCCGGUAACACGGGAUGGAGGACCGCACCAAUAAGCGUUGAAAAGCUUCUGGAUGAGGUGUGUGUAGGAGUGAAAGGCCAAUCAAACUUGGAGAUAGCUCGUACUCCCCGAAAGGCAUUUAGGUGCCGCGUGCGACGAUCCGCGUGAGAGGUAGAGCGACCGAUAGGUCGAGAGGGCUUCACCGCCUGUCAAGACCUGACGAACUCCGAAUGCUCACGCGCCGCAGUUGCGCAGUAAGGGGGCGGGUGCUAAGGUCCGUCCCCGAGAGGAGAAGAAUCCAGACCGUCGUCUAAGGUCCCGGAAUUCUGCCUGAGUUAGUCUAACGAAGUCUGGUCCCCGUGACAGCCAGGAUGUUGGCUUGGAAGCAGCCAUUCAUUCAAAGAGUGCGUAACAGCUCACUGGUCGAGGGUCCGGGCAUGGAUAAUAAUCGGGUAUAAGGCAGAUACCGAAGGCGCGGGAUAGCAAAUCAUAAAAGUAUCGGUAGGGGAGCAUUCCAUCGGCGUCGAAUGCGGGGGUUGACCCCCGCUGGAGCUUAUGGAAACGCAAAUGUAGGUAUAAGUAACGACAAGGAGGGCGAGAACCCCUCCCGCCGUAAGUCCAAGGUUUCCCGGGCAAUGCCAGUCAUCCCGGGGUCAGUCGGGUCCUAAGCCUCAGCCUACUGGCGAGGGCGAUGGCCUAAACGGUUAAUAUUCCGUUACUUCCCUUUGGAGCGAUGUGGUGACGGAGCAGUGACACGGCCGCGGGGCGACGGAAGUCCCCGUUGAAGAGUGUAGGCGUUGACAUGGGCAGGCAAAUCCACCCAUGGAGUCGACCUUGACAGUAUGGAUUUCCCUUCGGGGCGAUCCAAUAGCGCCGGUAAUCAUACUCCCAAGAAAACCCGCUAAGCAUAUCCAUAGGGAACCCGUACCGCAAACCGACACAGGUAGACGGGUAGAACAUACUAAGGCGUUGAGAGAUUCAUGGUUAAGGAACUAGGCAAACUGACCCUGUAACUUCGGGAUAAAGGGUCCUCGUGAUUUUACGAGGCGCAGAGAAUAGGUCCAGGCAACUGUUUAACAAAAACACAGGGCUGUGCUAACACGAAAGUGGAUGUAUACAGCCUGACACCUGCCCGGUGCCGGAAGGUUAAGAGGAGAGGUCAUCCCUUUAGGGUGCCGCCUUGAAUUGAAGCCCCGGUAAACGGCGGCCGUAACUAUAACGGUCCUAAGGUAGCGAAAUUCCUUGUCGGGUAAGUUCCGACCUGCACGAAUGGUGUAAUGAUCCGGACGCUGUCUCGACCAUGAUCUCAGUGAAAUUGUAGUAUCGGUGAAGAUGCCGAUUACCCGCGAUGGGACGAAAAGACCCCGUGAACCUUUACUAUAGCUUAGCAUUGACCUUGGUCAUCCGAUGUGUAGGAUAGGCCGGAGGCAUCGACGCGGUCGCGCCAGCGGUCGUUGAGCCAUCCUUGAAAUACGGCCCUUUGGCUGUCUGAGGUCUAACGCGCUAAUUGCGCGGACACUGCUUGGUGGGUAGUUUGACUGGGGUGGUCGCCUCCAAAAGCGUAACGGAGGCUUCCAAAGGUGCCCUCCGGCCGAUUGGUAACCGGCCUUAUAGAGUGCAAUGGCAUAAGGGCGCUUGACUGGGAGGCAGACAUGCCGAGCAGGCAGGAAACUGGGGCAUAGUGAUCCGGUGCAAGUGUAUGGAAACUGCAUCGCUCAAAGGAUAAAAGGUACUCCGGGGAUAACAGGCUGAUCCCCCCCAAGAGCUCAUAUCGACGGGGUGGUUUGGCACCUCGAUGUCGGCUCGUCACAUCCUGGGGCUGGAGAAGGUCCCAAGGGUUGGGCUGUUCGCCCAUUAAAGUGGCACGCGAGCUGGGUUCAGAACGUCGUGAGACAGUUCGGUCUCUAUCUAUCGUGGGCGCAGGAGUUUUGCGUGGUGCCGUCACUAGUACGAGAGGACCGUGAUGGACAGACCUCCGGUUUGCCGGUUGUGCCGCCAGGCGCACCGCCGGGUAUCUGAGUCUGGUAUGGAUAAGCGCUGAAAGCAUCUAAGCGCGAAGCCUUCCGCAAGAUGAGAACUCCAUAGAGGGUCGUCGCAGACGACGACGUUGAUAGGGCGCAGGUGUAAAGACAGCGAUGUCAAAGCCGAGCGCUACUAAUUGCCCGAACGCUUUCUUGG
rnacentral:rRNA from 1 species